GCUGUGCUAGCCAAAAGCAGUACAGAGACUAAGAACUAACAGACAUAUCCUCUCUUGUUUGCAGACAGGUCACUUUGAAGCUCCCGAGUGGGGAGACAGAAGAAACAGAGAGAAACUACUUCUGAAGUUGUUGACCCAGUGACACCUGCUUCCACCUUUUAUGGCAAUAUAAUUACAUUAAAUAGAUGGAAAUGGUGACUAUUCUAGAGGUAUCUGUGCUUUCAACAACCCUGCUGAAUUUGAACACCAAAUACAAAAAAGGAGUCAAAGGUAUCUUAAUAAAAUGAAUCGGGAAUCUUGGCUCAGUUCUACAACAAUCUAGUCACCACCAGUGCCAGUGAUGUUGCUUCAAUGCUCCAAGCAGUAGCCUACUACUAAGUUUUAAAACAAUUUUAGAAACAUGUAUUAUGAGUUUCCUUUAUGCUAAAUAAAGGGCAACAAAUCAUUACCAAUAAAUGAUGCC